CAGAACGAACGCUGGCGGCGUGCUUAACACAUGCAAGUCGAGUGCACAGUUGGUAGCAAUACCGAUGGGUGCACGGCGCACGGGUGCGUAACACGUGGGCAAUCUGCCCUCCGAUGGGGAAUAACCCCCGCGAAAGCGGGGCUAAUUCCGCAUAACAUUCCUUGGACGAUGGUCUGGGGAUUCAAAGCCGUAAGGCGUCGGAGGAGGAGCCCGCGCCCGAUUAGCUAGUUGGUGAGGUAAUGGCUCACCAAGGCAAUGAUCGGUAGCUGGUCUGAGAGGAUGGCCAGCCACACUGGAACUGAGACACGGUCCAGACUCCUACGGGAGGCAGCAGUGGGGAAUCUUGCGCAAUGGGCGAAAGCCUGACGCAGCCGACGCCGCGUGGGGGAUGAAGCUUCUCGGAGUGUAAACCCCUUUCGACUGGGACGAAUGCCUCGCAAGAGGAGUGACGGUACCAGUAGAAGAAGCCCCGGCUAACUACGUGCCAGCCGCCGC
rnacentral:rRNA from 1 species